rnacentral:lncRNA from 1 species
ACCCACACGCUCCCUCAGGUACACUGAUCAUAUGGGUGAGGAAACUCUUCACAGAAUGGGCUUCCAUAAAGUAGAGGGUGUCUGGGUUAGGAAAACAUCUUCAUCCACACCAUCUGACCCUAUUACUCACCAUUCACCUAGCCCUGACCAUGACCAGGACCACUACACAGCUCCUCCCACUUUUCCAUCCACUUCUGGUCCCUCAUUC